GUGACUGCGUACCUUUUGUAUAAUGGGUCAGCGACUUAUAUUCUGUAGCAAGGUUAACCGAAUAGGGGAGCCGAAGGGAAACCGAGUCUUAACUGGGCGUUAAGUUGCAGGGUAUAGACCCGAAACCCGGUGAUCUAGCCAUGGGCAGGUUGAAGGUUGGGUAACACUAACUGGAGGACCGAACCGACUAAUGUUGAAAAAUUAGCGGAUGACUUGUGGCUGGGGGUGAAAGGCCAAUCAAACCGGGAGAUAGCUGGUUCUCCCCGAAAGCUAUUUAGGUAGCGCCUCGUGAAUUCAUCUCCGGGGGUAGAGCACUGUUUCGGCAAGGGGGUCAUCCCGACUUACCAACCCGAUGCAAACUGCGAAUACCGGAGAAUGUUAUCACGGGAGACACACGGCGGGUGCUAACGUCCGUCGUGAAGAGGGAAACAACCCAGACCGCCAGCUAAGGUCCCAAAGUCAUGGUUAAGUGGGAAACGAUGUGGGAAGGCCCAGACAGCCAGGAUGUUGGCUUAGAAGCAGCCAUCAUUUAAAGAAAGCGUAAUAGCUCACUGGUCGAGUCGGCCUGCGCGGAAGAUGUAACGGGGCUAAACCAUGCACCGAAGCUGCGGCAGCGACACUAUGUGUUGUUGGGUAGGGGAGCGUUCUGUAAGCCUGUGAAGGUGUGCUGUGAGGCAUGCUGGAGGUAUCAGAAGUGCGAAUGCUGACAUAAGUAACGAUAAAGCGGGUGAAAAGCCCGCUCGCCGGAAGACCAAGGGUUCCUGUCCAACGUUAAUCGGGGCAGGGUGAGUCGACCCCUAAGGCGAGGCCGAAAGGCGUAGUCGAUGGGAAACAGGUUAAUAUUCCUGUACUUGGUGUUACUGCGAAGGGGGGACGGAGAAGGCUAUGUUGGCCGGGCGACGGUUGUCCCGGUUUAAGCGUGUAGGCUGGUUUUCCAGGCAAAUCCGGAAAACUAAGGCUGAGGCGUGAUGACGAGGCACUACGGUGCUGAAGCAACAAAUGCCCUGCUUCCAGGAAAAGCCUCUAAGCAUCAGGUAACAUCAAAUCGUACCCCAAACCGACACAGGUGGUCAGGUAGAGAAUACCAAGGCGCUUGAGAGAACUCGGGUGAAGGAACUAGGCAAAAUGGUGCCGUAACUUCGGGAGAAGGCACGCUGAUAUGUAGGUGAAGCGACUUGCUCGUGGAGCUGAAAUCAGUCGAAGAUACCAGCUGGCUGCAACUGUUUAUUAAAAACACAGCACUGUGCAAACACGAAAGUGGACGUAUACGGUGUGACGCCUGCCCGGUGCCGGAAGGUUAAUUGAUGGGGUUAGCGGUAACGCGAAGCUCUUGAUCGAAGCCCCGGUAAACGGCGGCCGUAACUAUAACGGUCCUAAGGUAGCGAAAUUCCUUGUCGGGUAAGUUCCGACCUGCACGAAUGGCGUAAUGAUGGCCAGGCUGUCUCCACCCGAGACUCAGUGAAAUUGAACUCGCUGUGAAGAUGCAGUGUACCCGCGGCAAGACGGAAAGACCCCGUGAACCUUUACUAUAGCUUGACACUGAACAUUGAGCCUUGAUGUGUAGGAUAGGUGGGAGGCUUUGAAGUGUGGACGCCAGUCUGCAUGGAGCCGACCUUGAAAUACCACCCUUUAAUGUUUGAUGUUCUAACGUUGGCCCGUUAUCCGGGUUGCGGACAGUGUCUGGUGGGUAGUUUGACUGGGGCGGUCUCCUCCUAAAGAGUAACGGAGGAGCACGAAGGUUGGCUAAUCCUGGUCGGACAUCAGGAGGUUAGUGCAAUGGCAUAAGCCAGCUUGACUGCGAGCGUGACGGCGCGAGCAGGUGCGAAAGCAGGUCAUAGUGAUCCGGUGGUUCUGAAUGGAAGGGCCAUCGCUCAACGGAUAAAAGGUACUCCGGGGAUAACAGGCUGAUACCGCCCAAGAGUUCAUAUCGACGGCGGUGUUUGGCACCUCGAUGUCGGCUCAUCACAUCCUGGGGCUGAAGUAGGUCCCAAGGGUAUGGCUGUUCGCCAUUUAAAGUGGUACGCGAGCUGGGUUUAGAACGUCGUGAGACAGUUCGGUCCCUAUCUGCCGUGGGCGCUGGAGAACUGAGGGGGGCUGCUCCUAGUACGAGAGGACCGGAGUGGACGCAUCACUGGUGUUCGGGUUGUCAUGCCAAUGGCACUGCCCGGUAGCUAAAUGCGGAAGAGAUAAGUGCUGAAAGCAUCUAAGCACGAAACUUGCCCCGAGAUGAGUUCUCCCUGACUCCCUGAGAGUCCUGAAGGAACGUUGAAGACGACGACGUUGAUAGGCCGGGUGUGUAAGCGCAGCGAUGCGUUGAGCUAACCGGUACUAAUGAACCGUGAGGCUUAACCUU
rnacentral:rRNA from 1 species